CAAGUUCGAGCACGGGAGACACACGNCGGGUGAUAAGGUCCGUCGUGAAAAGGGAAACAGCCCAGACCGUCAGCUAAGGUCCCAAAAUCUAUGCUCAGUGGGAAACGAUGUGGAAAGGCCCAGACAGCCAGGAGGUUGGCUUAGAAGCAGCCAUCCUUUAAAGAAAGCGUAAUAGCUCACUGGUCGAGUCGGUCUGCGCGGAAGAUUUACCGGGGCUAAGCAUAGUACCGAAGCUACGGAUCACACUUUUAGUGUGGUGGUAGAGGAGCGUUCUGUACGCCUGCGAAGGUGAACUGAGAAGUUUGCUGGAGGUAUCAGAAGUGCGAAUGCUGACAUGAGUAACGAUAAUGGGGGUGAAAAACCCCCACGCCGAAAACCCAAGGUUUCCUGCGCAACGCUAAUCGACGCAGGGUUAGUCGGUACCUAAGGCGAGGCCGAAAGGCGUAGUCGAUGGCAAACAGGUUAAUAUUCCUGUACCAGUGGUAACUGCGAUGGGGUGACGGAGAAGGCUAGAUCAGCUGACGGUUGGAAGUGUCAGUUUAAGCGUGUAGGGAGUGGACUUAGGCAAAUCCGGGUUCAUAAUUCUGAGACGUGAUGACGAGUUGCUCCUCGGAGCGACGAAGUGAUUGAUGCCAGGCUUCCAAGAAAAACCUCUAAGCUUCAGGUUAUCAGUGGCCGUACCCCAAACCGACACAGGUGGGUGGGAUGAGAAUUCUAAGGCGCUUGAGAGAACUCGGCUGAAGGAACUAGGCAAAAUGAUACCGUAACUUCGGGAGAAGGUAUGCCCUUGGUAGGUGAAGUCCCUCGCGGGAAGAGCCGAAGAGGGUUGCAAUAAAAUGGUGGCUGCGACUGUUUAGCAAAAACAUAGCACUCUGCAAACUCGAAAGAGGACGUAUAGGGUGUGACGCCUGCCCGGUGCUGGAAGGUUAAUUGAUGGGGUUAUCUUCGGAGAAGCUCUUGAUCGAAGCCCCAGUAAACGGCGGCCGUAACUAUAACGGUCCUAAGGUAGCGAAAUUCCUUGUCGGGUAAGUUCCGACCUGCACGAAUGGCGUAACGAUGGCCACACUGUCUCCAGCCGAGACUCAGUGAAAUUGAAAUUGCGGUGAAGAUGCCGUAUACCCGUGGCUAGACGGAAAGACCCCGUGAACCUUUACUAUAGCUUGACACUGGACUUUGAAUCGAUUUGUGUAGGAUAGGUGGGAGACAUUGAAGCCGCAACGCCAGUUUUUGUGGAGUCAUCCUUGAAAUACCACCCUGAUUUAUUUGAAGUUCUAACCUAGGUCCGUGAUCUGGAUUGGGGACAGUGUCUGGUGGGUAGUUUGACUGGGGCGGUCUCCUCCUAAAGAGUAACGGAGGAGCACGAAGGUACCCUCAGCCUGGUCGGAAAUCAGGCAAUGAGUGCAAUGGCAUAAGGGUGCUUGACUGCGAGACGUACAAGUCGAGCAGGUACGAAAGUAGGUCAUAGUGAUCCGGUGGUUCUGUAUGGAAGGGCCAUCGCUCAACGGAUAAAAGGUACUCCGGGGAUAACAGGCUGAUACCGCCCAAGAGUUCAUAUCGACGGCGGUGUUUGGCACCUCGAUGUCGGCUCAUCACAUCCUGGGGCUGAAGCAGGUCCCAAGGGUAUGGCUGUUCGCCAUUUAAAGUGGUACGCGAGCUGGGUUCAGAACGUCGUGAGACAGUUCGGUCCCUAUCUGCCAUGGGCGUUUGAGAUUUGAGGGAAGCUGCUCCUAGUACGAGAGGACCGGAGUGGACGAACCUCUGGUGUUCCGGUUGUCAUGCCAAUGGCAUUGCCGGGUAGCUAUGUUCGGACAGGAUAACCGCUGAAAGCAUCUAAGCGGGAAGCCCCUCCCAAGAUGAGAUCUCACUGGGACUAUAAGUCCCCUGAAGGGCCGUCGAAGACUACGACGUUGAUAGGCACGGUGUGGAAGUCCAGUAAUGGGCGUAGCUAACGUGUACUAAUUGCCCGUGAGGCUUGACCAU
rnacentral:rRNA from 1 species